GCCCGGGUGCUGGAAUUGGUAGACAGAGCAGACUUAAAAUCUGCUGGAGAUUUACUCUCCGUGAGGGUUCAAGUCCCUCCCCGGGCA
rnacentral:tRNA from 1 species